rnacentral:rRNA from 1 species
ACUCAAAGGAAUAGACGGGGGCCCGCACAAGCAGCGGAGCGUGUGGUUUAAUUCGAGGCUACACGAACAACCUUACCUGGACUUGACAUCACGGUGGUAGGGAACGGAAACGCGACCGACCUUCGGGAGCCGUGACCGGUGCUGCAUGGCUGUCGUCAGCUCGUGUCGUGAGAUGUACGGUUAAGUCCGCAAACGAGCGCAACCCUCAGGGUCAGUUACACGCUUGUCUGACCCGACUGCCCUCGUCAAGGGGGAGGAAGGUGGGGAUGACGUCAAGUCAGCAUGGCCUUGAUGUUCAGGGCGACACACACGCUACAAUGGGCGGUACAAUGGGUUGCGAGGCUGCGAAGCCGAGCCAAUCCCGAAAGCCGCUCGCAGUUCGGAUGGCAGGCUGCAACCCGCCUGCCUGAAGGUGGAGUUGCUAGUAACCGCGGGACAGCGAUACUGCGGUGAAUACGUUCCCGGGCCUUGUACACACCGCCCGU